GACGUAGGAGGCGAGCGUUAUCCGGAUUCACUGGGCGUAAAGCGCAUGUAGGCGGUUGUGUAAGUCCGAUGUUAAAGCCCCUGGCUCAACUGGGGGAGGUCAUUGGAGACUACUCGACUUGAGGGCAACAGAGGCACGUGGAACUCCCGGUGUAGCGGUGGAAUGCGUAGAGAUCGGGAAGAACACCAGUGGCGAAGGCGACGUGCUGGGUUGCAACUGACGCUGAGACGCGAAAGCGUGGGGAGCGAACAGG
rnacentral:rRNA from 1 species